AUACUUACCUGGCAGGGGAGAUACCAUGAUCAUGAAGGUGGUUUUCCCAGGGCAAGGCUUAUCCAUUGCACUCCGGAUGUGCUGACCCCUGCGAUUUCCCCAAAUGCGGGAAACUCGACUGCAUAAUUUGUGGUAGUGGGGGACUGCAUUCGCGCUCUCCCCCA
rnacentral:snRNA from 1 species